rnacentral:rRNA from 1 species
UACAGAGGGUGCAAGCGUUGUUCGGAAUUAUUGGGCGUAAAGCGCGUGUAGGCGGCUUUGCAAGUCGGGUGUGAAAGCCCUCAGCUCAACUGAGGAAGUGCGCCCGAAACUGCAGAGCUUGAGUGCCGGAGAGGGUGGCGGAAUUCCCCAAGUAGAGGUGAAAUUCGUAGAUAUGGGGAAGAACACCGGUGGCGAAGGCGGCGACCUGGUCUGAUACUGACGCUGAGGCGCGACAGCGUGGGGAGCAAACAGG